AAAUCCGUUGGCUUUAUUGACCGUGAGGGUUCAAGUCCCUCUACUCCCA
rnacentral:tRNA from 3 species